UGUAGCUGGAACACCUGCAAGUGAAGACCAAGGCAAAAAGUCAGAGAGUACCUCAGCCCAGUACCUGUGUCCCAGGAAACCACAUCUCCAGUUUCCUUCCAGAGAGAGACCAUAUUUUCCCUAAUCUUUCUUUAAUUCACCAAGGUACCUAUAGAGGGUUUUCUUGUUGUCCUUUAUGUCCCUGGCCAGAUUUAAUUCUAUCAGGCUUUCCUAAUGUGAUCCCUGGCUCUUCAGACAUUCUCUGUAUUACUCCCAGGCUACCAGUCCUUGUUUCCACUCUCUGUAGGCAUCCUUCUUUUGUUUGAGUUUGUCAACAAGUUCUUUGUUCAUCCACACAGGCCUCCUAGCAUUUCUGCCACACAGGCCUUCUGGCAUUUUUCUGACUUCACUUUGUUGUGAAUCAUCACUCCUGAACUUGGAAGAGGUGACCCUUGAAUAUUAACCACAUUUCUUGGGCCCAUCUUUUCUCCAGGGCCUUAUUCCAUGUCAUUCUACCAAGCAGGUUCCUGAAGAGGCCCAAGCCUGCUCUCCUGAGGUCCAUGGUAGUGAGUUUACUGUGUGCCCGCAUCAAUGCCCUGAGGAUCUUGUACUCCUCCAUUUCAUGAUUGCUGCAGCCCAGGCUGCCCUUGAACUUCAUGUGCCCCAUAAGCCUCUCUUUAUCAGUGAGAAAAAGAGAAAUUAAGAAACAAGGACUUCUGUCCAAGGUUCUUCACAGAUGCAGAGGUCUGCGACAAAGAUUAAAGACGGCAGCCUAACAGAAAGUAUGGUCUGUGGAGAUUUUAGG